rnacentral:rRNA from 1 species
CCUUGACAUACUAAGAACUUUCCAGAGAUGGGAUUGGGUGCCUUCGGGAACUUAGAUACAGGUGCUGCAUGGCUGUCGUCAGCUCGUGUCGUGAGAUGUUGGGUUAAGUCCCGNAACGAGCGCAACCCUUUUCCUUAUUUGCCAGCGGGUCAUGCCGGGAACUUUAAGGAUACUGCCAGUGACAAACUGGAGGAAGGCGGGGACGACGUCAAGUCAUCAUGGCCCUUACGGCCAGGGCUACACACGUGCUACAAUGGUCGGUACAAAGGGUUGCUACCUCGCGAGAGGAUGCUAAUCUCAAAAAGCCGAUCGUAGUCCGGAUCGCAGUCUGCAACUCGACUGCGUGAAGUCGGAAUCGCUAGUAAUCGCGGAUCAGAAUGCCGCGGUGAAUACGUUCCCGGGCCUUGUACACACCGCCCGUCACACCAUGGGAGUUUGUUGCACCAGAAGUAGGUAGUCUAACCGCAAGGAGGACGCUUACCACGGUGUGGCCGAUGACUGGGGUGAAGUCGUAACAAGGUAGGCGUAGAUGA